GGGGAUUUAGCUCAGUAGCAUAAGCGCCUGCCUUGCAAGCAGGCAGUCGUGAGUUUGAUCCCAUCCCCU
rnacentral:tRNA from 1 species